GUGUUGAUGUCAGGGGGAGGAGAGAGGCUGCAGACUCAGUCGGUGUGUAGAUGUGUGUGUACAGCCAACAACUCAGCGGCCGGAGGACUUUUCUCUACCAGUUCAACAACUUACUUUUUUCGUGAAUAAAGCACUACAAAAAAGGACAAAGUCGAGGAGGACAAAUGCGAAAAUGCGAGAAGAAAUCCAGGAAGAGAGUGUCUGCUUAUUAAAAAUUCAGCGCGGGAGAGCAGACAUUAUCGCCCUUUCUGAUGACUUGUGGCAGCACUGAGGAUAAACUAACACUAACGGGCUUCAGACAUUAUUGAAUGGGGUGAAACGAGGCGGAAUUUUCUCUGAAAACCGAGUCACCGAGGCAUUUCCAGGCGGUCAAAACCCCAAAGGGAAGGGGAGGUGAGGGGGGCAAAGAAAACGCCCUGCUGCCUGUUGCUGGUAUCUCCAAAAUUCAAACUUUAUCGCCGAGUUGGAAAAAAUGCAUCUCUGGUGAUUAUUCAAGUGUAACGUUGUCUUUAUUAGCUCAAAGCCAGACAGAUAGCUAACUGGCUGAAGCCCCCCCACCCCCUCCCCAGCUCGCUCGGCAAGUUUUUUGGGAAGCGGGGAGUCUCUUUGCUUUGGGAAUAUUUUCUCCUCAUUGUGCACACUAUUCCUGUUGGAAGCGAUUUGGGUGGGCUGAGAGCCGCUAGGCCCGCGGCCACAUUAGCCACGAACAAAGACGUUUCACAUGUGAACUCAAACAGUUUGGGGAAAACCUCUUCAUCAUUUCUUUUUUUUACUCAGCUUUUUAACGACCCACUCUGCAGACAUGUCGCUCGGCGCCGAGAGGAGGACGGAAACCCGGCUGAAGAGGCUGGAGGACAUGAUCAGAAACCCCAGGUCUGCCAUGAACCUGGAAAGUUUGCUGGACUCCAUAAACGCCCUUGUCUUGGACUUGGACUACCCCGCACUACGCAAGAACAAAAACAUCGAAACCUUCUUAAACAGAUAUGAGGCGGUCAUAGGACAAGUUCGAGACCUACAGAUGAAGUCUGAUGACUUUGACAGAGUUAAAGUAAUUGGUCGAGGGGCGUUCGGUGAGGUCCAACUGGUCAGACAUAAAAUCUCUCAGAAGGUCUACGCCAUGAAGCUGCUGAGCAAGUUUGAGAUGAUCAAGCGCUCAGAUUCAGCCUUCUUCUGGGAAGAAAGGGACAUCAUGGCCUUCGCCAACAGUCCCUGGGUUGUGCAGUUGUGCUGUGCCUUCCAAGAUGAGCACUACCUCUACAUGGUGAUGGAGUACAUGCCAGGAGGUGACCUGGUCAACCUCACCAGCACCUAUGACGUGCCGGAGAAAUGGGCCAAAUUCUACACAGCAGAGGUGGUGAUGGCCCUGGAUGCCAUUCACUCCAUGGGCUUCAUCCACCGUGACGUCAAGCCGGACAACAUGCUGCUGGACAGACACGGACACCUGAAGCUGGCCGACUUCGGCACGUGCAUGAAGAUGGACUCUACCGGCAUGGUGCACUGUGAUACAGCGGUCGGUACUCCGGACUACAUCUCUCCAGAGGUGCUGAAAUCCCAGGGAGGAGAUGGGUGUUAUGGGAGAGAGUGUGACUGGUGGUCCGUAGGGGUCUUCAUCUUUGAAAUGCUUGUCGGUGACACACCGUUCUACGCUGACUCUCUGGUGGGAACUUACAGUAAGAUCAUGGACCAUAAAAACUCUCUGAACUUCCCUGAUGAUGUGGAGAUCUCCAAAGAUGCCAGGAAUAUUAUCUGUGCCUUCCUGACUGACAGGGAGGUGCGAUUGGGCAGGAACGGCGUGGAGGAAAUCAAGCGACACCCUUUCUUCAAGAAUGACCAGUGGACCUUUGACACCAUGAGAGACACGGUUGCCCCUGUGGUUCCAGAGCUGAGCAGCGACAUAGACACCAGUAACUUUGAUGAGAUCGAAGACGACAAAGGCGACGUAGAAACUUUCCCCACUCCUAAGGCCUUUGUUGGAAACCAGUUACCCUUUGUUGGCUUCACCUACUUCAAAGAAAACCAGUUACUAAACAUCUCCAACAACACCUCGGCCACUCAUGAGAAUUCAAAAGGAGAGUGGGCAGCGAUGCAGAAGAAACUUCACCACCUGGAGGUGCAGCUGAAUAAUGAGAAACAGGUCAAAGAUGAUGUAGAGCACAAAUACAGAGCUGCCACUGGUCGCCUAGACAAAAUCUCCAAAGAACUUGAGGAAGAGGUGAGCAGCAGGAAGAAUCUGGAGUCAAGCAUGAGGCAGCUGGAGAGGGAGAAGGCCCUGCUGCAGCACAAGAGCCUGGAGAGCCACCGCAAGGCUGAGAGCGAGGCCGACAGGAAGCGCUGCCUGGAGAAUGAAGUCAACAGCCUUCGAGACCAGCUGGACGACAUGAAAAGAAGAAACCAGAAUUCACACAUUUCCAAUGAGAAGAACAUUCACCUUCAGAAACAGCUGGAAGAAGCCAACACGUUGCUGCGGGCCGAGUCGGAGGCGGCGACGAGGCUCCGUAAAACCCAGACGGAGAGCAGCAAGCAGCUGCAGCAGCUGGAGGCCAACGUGCGUGAGCUGCAGGACAAAUGUUGUCUGCUGGAGCGCAGCAAGCUGAGCCUGGAGAAGGAAUGCAUCAGUCUGCAGGCGGCACUGGAGACAGAGCGGAGGGAGCACAGCCAGGGCUCAGAGACCAUCAGCGACCUGAUGGGACGAAUCUCUGGUCUGGAGGAGGAGGCACGUAAGCAGAGACAAGUCCUGUCUAAAGCGGAGACUGAGAAGAGACAGCUUCAGGAGAAACUCACUGACCUGGAGAAGGAGAAGAGCAACAAGGAGAUUGAUUUGACCUACAAGCUGAAGGUGCUGCAGCAGGAGCUGGAACAGGAGGAGACCUCUCACAAGACCACCAGGGCAAUGCUGGCAGACAAGAGCAAGAUCAAAGUAACCAUCGAGGGUGCCAAGUCAGAGUCCAUGAAGGAGAUGGAGCAGAAGCUGGCGGAGGAGCGAGCAGCCAAACUGCGGCUGGAGAACAGAAUACUGGAGCUGGAGAAGCACAGCAGCAUGAUGGACUGUGACUAUAAACAGGCUCUGCAGAAACUGGACGAGCUGCGCAGACACAAGGACCGCCUCACCGAGGAGGUGAAGAACCUGACGCUGAAGAUCGAGCAGGAAACCCAGAAGCGUAACCUGACUCAGAACGACCUGAAGGCCCAAAACCAACAACUCAGCUCUCUGCGAACGUCCGAGAAGCAGCUCAGACAGGAAAUGAAUCACCUGCUGGACAUCAAACGCAGCUUGGAGAAACAAAACCAAGAGCUGCGCAAAGAAAGACAAGACACAGACGGACAAAUGAAGGAAUUACAAGAUCAGUUAGAGGCCGAACAGUAUUUCUCUACGCUGUAUAAGACACAGGUUCGUGAACUUAAGGAGGAGUGUGAGGAGAGGAACAAACUCUACAAAGACGUGCAGCAGUCCCUGCAGGAUCAACAGGAAGAGAGGGAUUCUUUGGCAGCUCAGCUUGAGAUCACCCUGACUAAGGCUGACUCAGAGCAGCUGGCGCGCUCUAUUGCAGAGGAGCAGUACUCGGACCUGGAGAAGGAGAAAAUAAUGAAGGAGCUGGAGCUGAAGGAGAUGAUGGCCCGCCACCGUCAGGAACUGGCUGAGAAGGACAUCACCAUCAGUUCGCUGGAGGAAGCCAACAGGACCUUGACCAGCGAUGUCGCCAAUCUGGCCAAUGAGAAGGAGGAGCUGAAUAAUAAACUGAAGGAGGCAGUAGAGGAAACAGAGAAGUCCAAGGAUUGGGAGCAGCAUAUCAACCAGAUGAAGCAGACAUUUGAUAAGCAGCUGCAGUCAGAGAGGACACUGAAAACUCAGGCCGUCAAUAAGCUGGCAGAGAUCAUGAACAGGAAGGUGGAUCGCGGUGGAGGCAGUCGCCGUGGUAACGACACAGACAUACGGCGAAAGGACAAGGAGAACAGGAAGCUGCAGGCGGAGCUCAGGUCGGAGAAGGAGAAGCUCAACAGCACCAUCAUCAAAUACCAGAGAGAGAUCAACGAAAUGCAGGCGCAAUUGGCAGAUGAGAGCCAGAUGCGUAUCGAGCUGCAGAUGGCUCUGGACAGUAAGGACAGCGACAUCGAGCAGCUGAGGAACCUCCUGCAGUCGCUCAGCGUGCAAUCCAUGGACUCCGCCAGCGUCAGCAGCGGGCCUGAGUUUGAUGCCGAUGAUGCGUACGCAGAAAUGAGGCUCGAGGGGUGGCUCUCCCUCCCUGUAAGAAACAACACCAAGAAGUUCGGAUGGGAGAAAAAGUAUGUUGUAGUGAGCAGCAAAAAGAUUCUCUUCUACAACAGCGAGCAAGACAGAGAGCAGUCCAUUCCCUACAUGGUGCUUGAUAUAGACAAACUCUUCCAUGUGAGGCCUGUCACUCAAACGGAUGUGUACCGAGCUGACUCCAAAGAGAUUCCCAGGAUAUUCCAGAUUCUUUAUGCCAAUGAAGGCGAGAGCAAAAAGGAGCCAGAGUUUCCCGUGGAGCCGCUGGCCAUCGGGGAGAAGUCUAGCUACAUCUGCCAUAAAGGACACGAGUUCAUCCACACGCUGUACCACUUCCCCACCAACUGUGAGGCGUGCACCAAGCCGCUGUGGAACAUGUUCAAGCCGCCGCCAGCUCUGGAGUGUCGGCGCUGCCACAUCAAGUGCCACAAGGACCAUAUGGACAAGAAGGAGGAGAUCAUCGCUCCCUGUAAAGUGAACUACGACGUGUCUACAGCCAAGAACCUGCUGCUGCUGGCCGCGUCCCAGGAGGAGCAGCAGAAGUGGGUCAGCCGACUGGUCAAGAAGAUUCCCAAGAAGCCUCCGCCGCCAGAGCACUUUGCGCGCUCCUCGCCACGCGCCUCCAUGAAGGUCCAGCCCAGCCAAUCUAUGAGGAGACCCAGUCGACAGCUCCCCACCAGCAAGAGCAGACUGUUCCCUGUGAACGACUGAAGUCCUGAAUGUGUAUUCUGCGCACUACUCCCAUUGGUAUCUACAAAAAACAGGAUUCCUUGGUAUUAUUUCAACCAUAAAGUCUUACUGGCAGUUAACCUUGCUUUGGGAGUGUGGUGCGUCUUGAAGGUGGCAGAGUGUGUUUCAUCCUAAAUCGAAGACUAUAUAUGAAGCUCCGUUUGCAGAUCGGCACACUGAACUCCACUCCACUCUUCCACAACCCCACCCUGUCCUGCUUCAGCCCGUGAGAGUUACAAAAAGUCUGUUUUUCCUCUUUUGUUCAAGUUCUUUCCCAGCCACUUGAAGCGGUAACGACGAUCAAACUCACCUCAACACCUGUGAUCUUUUCAGCAAGCUGGACGGCUUGUGAGCAUAUUAGCUGAAGAAGUCUUCUCUCGAGCCCUCGACUAGAGCAAUUAUGUGUCUCUGAGGGGGCCGGAGUAGCUCGUUCAGCUCCCACAGAACAGAAGAGAGCUCUUAUAAAGCCCUACCAGGGCCGGCAAGAAGGGGAUACACUUACCUCACCACUUCUCACCAGGACACUGUCUGAUUGAAGGACCCAGCAAGAAAACGCUCAACUCCUCAUCAUCACCUUUGGGGAUUCUUGUGGCCAAAUGAAUAAAAAGACGUUCUUGUGUUAAAUGAUUGUGAAUAAUAUGAAGGGUUUAGCGGGGAACACUACACUCAGAAGACGGUAAAUUCUGUAAUUUGUUGGCUGGACACAACUGAGGCUGUUGAACUUUAUCCCCGACACAGCAUCUGUACUUACGCAUAUUCUUUCACAUACUGAUUGUAGCUUCUUGCUUCCCACGAUUCUGCUUUCAGGUGCAUGUCCACACGGGUCACAGAAACUUGAAUAAGGUACUUAAGCAAGCGAGCUGUGACUUCUCGGAAAGUCAACAAAGCGGGGGGGGGGGGGGGGGGGGGAGGGGGGGGGAUGGAGUGUCAGAUUCCUCCAGGAUUUGAGCAAAUAAUUCCUCGAAUGCCUCUUAUUCAGAUUUCUGACUCAGGCACGCUCUGAAUCAUCGGCCUGCCGUUGUUUGACUACAGUUAACGUAAAGCGAACAGAUUCCCACUCUGAAUGGCAAUAGAUGAAGGGCCAGACAUGAGAUCCUCACAAUCCCGUAAUCUUACAAACCUGCACUGUCAGUUAUGAGGGUUAAUGUUUACUGAAUUCAAGGGAUGCACCGUUAAAUGCUUUUCUGAUCCGAGCUCGGCUCCUUUUUGUUGUUUUUGAAUGUACAUCUGGGCUUUACCAGAGACGACACACAGGCAUUGUAUUACUUGUAUCCAAAUAUACUUGACUGAAGCUGAAGCCCCCCUUUUUAUCACAAACUACUCUGAGUGAACUUGCAUGUGUUUGCCUUUUUUAGGCCUCACACACUUGAAUGCUGUCACCCCCGGGCCUCCAACCUAUCAAGAAAUGUAGUUUUUAAAAAUCAUUCAAAUGAGGGGAAUUUACCAAUAAGAAGCAGAAAACAAUGAAGGUAUGCAGUCAUAUCCAAAUCAACAUACUGAGCAGCACUAUUCCAUUGAAAGUUUUUCUAAAAGUGUUUGUCCUGAUAUUUUUGUAUUAAAAGUAACCAAACUCUGAGUUUGGGCACAUUGUUGUGUGUAUGUGGCUUAUAUAGCAGAUGGAGAGUAACUGUGUGUAUGUGUCUGUGUGUGUAUGUAUGUGUGUGUGUGCGUGUGUGUGUGUACCGAGUGCUCUCCUUUAACCAAGAAGCAUGUUUUAUACAUAUAAAUAUACACAGUAUAUAUUUUACAUGCCAUACAGCGCACAUUAUAUUAUUUAUACAGCUGUGUCCACUUUGUAUUUAAGGGCUCUACAUCCAGAUUGCAUGUUUGCUACCAAACUGCUCUAUAAUAAUUACCACUUCAACAAUAAAGACAUGGAUGUGCCUUUUGGUUUUGUUAUUAUUUUUUUUUGUCUUUUAAUUAUCGUGGAAGUGAUGAUGUCACAGUGUUUGCAUGAGAACUUUUUUCGGUGAGUUUUAAAUGUUGCACACUGGAAUGAACACACUGUAAGAAGUUAAAAUGUUUGGUUUAUUAAAAUAGUUCAGAAAAGAACUUUACAUGUAUAAAAUUCAAAAAUACAGUAUUUAUGCUAAGUGUGAAGAUCUCAGAUGUACUUGGCUUGUGCUGUCCUACUACUUGAAGACACCACACAUACAGUAUAGUAAAUAUUUAUUCACUGGUGUGUCAUAAAAAGU